UACGGAGGGUGCAAACGUUGCUCGGAAUCAUUGGGCGUAAAGCGCACGUAGGCGGUCCGUUAAGUCGGGAGUGAAAUCCCUCGGCUCAACCGAGGAAGUGCUUUCGAAACUGGCAGACUUGAAUACUGGAGAGGAUCGCGGAAUUCCCGGUGUAGGGGUGAAAUUCGUAGAUAUCGGGAGGAACACCAGUGGCGAAGGCGGCGAUCUGGACAGAUAUUGACGCUGAGGUGCGAAAGCGUGGGGAGCAAACAGG
rnacentral:rRNA from 1 species